CGCGGCCUAUCAGCUUGUUGGUGGGGUAACGGCCUACCAAGGCGAUUACGGGUAGCCGGCCUGAGAGGGCGACCGGCCACACUGGGACUGAGACACGGCCCAGACUCCUGCGGGAGGCAGCAGUGGGGAAUAUUGCGCAAUGGGCGAAAGCCUGACGCAGCGACGCCGCGUGGGGGAUGACGGCCUUCGGGUUGUAAACCUCUUUUACCACCAACGCAGGCUCCGGGUUUUCUCGGGGUUGACGGUAGGUGGGGAAUAAGGACCGGCUAACUACGUGCCAGCAGCCGCGGUAAUACGUAGGGUCCGAGCGUUGUCCGGAAUUAUUGGGCGUAAAGAGCUCGUAGGCGGCGUGUCGCGUCUGCUGUGAAAGACCGGGGCUUAACUCCGGUUCUGCAGUGGAUACGGGCAUGCUAGAGGUAGGUAGGGGAGACUGGAAUUCCUGGUGUAGCGGUGAAAUGCGCAGAUAUCAGGAGGAACACCGGUGGCGAAGGCGGGUCUCUGGGCCUUACCUGACGCUGAGGAGCGAAAGCAUGGGGAGCGAACAGGAUUAGAUACCCUGGUAGUCCAUGCCGUAAACGUUGGGCGCUAGGUGUGGGGACUUUCCACGGUUUCCGCGCCGUAGCUAACGCAUUAAGCGCCCCGCCUGGGGAGUACGG
rnacentral:rRNA from 1 species